rnacentral:misc_RNA from 1 species
ACUCACGACUACGACGUGAAGAUGCGCAACGUCCUGAAAUUCCUCGAGAACGGCGACAAGGUGAAGAUCACCCUGCGCUUCCGUGGCCGCGAGAUGGCGCACCAGAACCUCGGCCGCGAGCUGCUGGAACGGGUGGCCGAGGACGUCAAGGAAUUGGGCAAGGUCGAGAACAUGCCCAAGAUGGAAGGCCGCCAGAUGAUCAUGAUGAUCGGACCGGUCCUCAAGUAAGCACCGCUUUGGCACGCCUUGCGGCGAUCUCCGUAUCGCCACCGACCGA